rnacentral:rRNA from 1 species
UACGUAGGGGGCGAGCGUUGUCCGGAUUUACUGGGCGUAAAGGGCACGCAGGCGGUCCUGUCAGUUUCUAGUGACAGGUCAGAGCUUAACUCUGACAGGCCUAGAAAGACGGCAGGACUUGAGUACUUCAGAGGGACGCGGAAUUCCAGGUGGAGCGGUGAAAUGCGUAGAGAUCUGGAGGAACACCGGUGGCGAAGGCGGCUUGCUGGGCCUUACCUGACGCUGAGGAGCGAAAGCGUGGGGAGCGAACAGG